GAGUAAACGCGUAUCCAACCUGCCCUUUUACUUGGGGAUAACCCGUUGAAAGACGGACUAAUACCCAAUGAUAUUCAUUGAUGACAUCUGAUUUGAAUUAAAGAUUUAUCGGUAUAGGAUGGGGAUGCGUCUGAUUAGCUUGUUGGUGAGGUAACGGCUCACCAAGGCACGAUCCAGUAGGGGUUCUGAGAGGAAGGUCCCCCACAUUGGAACUGAGACACGGUCCAAACUCCUACGGGAGGCAGCAGUGAGGAAUAUUGGUCAAUGGACGAGAGUCUGAACCAGCCAAGUAGCGUGCAGGAUGACGGCCCUAUGGGUUGUAAACUGCUUUUGUUUGGGAAUAAUCGACAUUACGUGUAAUGUUUUGCAUGUACCAUUCGAAUAAGGACCGGCUAAUUCCGUGCCAGCAGCCGCGGUAAU
rnacentral:rRNA from 1 species